rnacentral:pre_miRNA from 1 species
AGUGGGAUAGCUGGGUCAUACGGUGGUUCCAUCCCUAGUUUUUUGAGGAAUCUCCAUACUGCUUCCCAGAGUGGUUGUACUAGUCUGCAGUCCCAUCAGCAAU